rnacentral:rRNA from 1 species
GAUCCAAGGGGGUAUACGAAAUCAUUGGGAUUUGAAGGAUCGGUAGGCGGUUUGGUAAGUCAGUGGUGAAGAGCCCGCAGCUCAGCGGUGGAACGGCCAUUGAAGCUGCCGGUCUUGAAUAAGUAGGAAUGGGACUAAGAGUAGGUAGUGUAGCGGUGAAAUAAUUUGGAUAUUACAUGGAAUACCAAGUGGGAAGGCAGGUUACUAAUGGUGGAUUGACGCUGAUGGACGAAAGCGUGGGGAGCGAACAGGAUUAGAUGCCCUGGUGUCCGCGCAUAAAGGGAUGGAUACUAGCUUUUGGGGGCAACUUCAGGGGCAAAGCGAAAAAUUAUAAAUAUUCCCACCCGGGGGGAAACCA